rnacentral:rRNA from 1 species
CUACGGGGUGCUGCAGGCAGGAAAACUUUACAAUGCACGAAAGUGUGAUAAGGGAAUCCUAAGUGCUUGCCAUUGGUGAGCUUUUGUCAAGUGUAAAUACCUUGACGAAUAAGUGGUGGGCAAGACCGGUGCCAGCAGCCGCGGUAACACCGGCGCCACGAGUGGUAAUCAUGUUUAUUUGGCCUAAAGCGUCCGUAGCCGAUUGAGUCAGUCUUUUGUUAAAUUGUUGUGCUUAACACAGCAGCUGCAAGAGAUACUGCUCAGUUAGAGACCGGGAGGAGACAGAGGUACUUCAAGGGUAGCGGUAGAAUGCGAUAAUCCUUGGAUGACCACCAAUGGCGAAGGCAUCUGUCUAGAACGGGUCUGACGGUGAGGGACGAAAGCUAGGGGAGCAAAAGGGAUUAGAUACCCCGGUAGUC